rnacentral:tRNA from 3 species
GGGCGCGUAGCUCAGUUGGUAGAGCAGCUGACUCUUAAUCAGCGGGUCCACAGUUCGAAUCUGUGCGCGCCCACCA